rnacentral:rRNA from 1 species
AACGAACGCUGGCGGCAGGCCUAACACAUGCAAGUCGAACGCCGUAGCAAUACGGAGUGGCAGACGGGUGAGUAGCGCGUGGGAACAUGCCCUUCGGUUCGGAAUAACUCAGGGAAACUUGAGCUAAUACCGGAUACGUCCAAGGCUUGCCUUGGAGAAAGAUUUAUCGCCGGAGGAUUGGCCCGCGUCUGAUUAGCUAAUUGGUGGGGUAAUGGCUCACCAAGGCGACGAUCAGUAGCUGGUCUGAGAGGAUGAUCAGCCACAUUGGGACUGAGACACGGCCCAAACUCCUACGGGAGGCAGCAGUGGGGAAUAUUGGACAAUGGGCGCAAGCCUGAUCCAGCCAUGCCGCGUGAGUGAUGAAGGCCCUAGGGUUGUAAAGCUCUUUUGCCCGGGAAGAUAAUGACGGUACCGGGAGAAUAAGCCCCGGCUAACUUCGUGCCAGCUGCCGCCGUAAAAC